rnacentral:misc_RNA from 1 species
GAUGAAGAACGCAGCGAAUUGCGAUAAGUAAUGUGAAUUGCAGAUUUUCAGUGAAUCAUCGAAUCUUUGAACGCACAUUGCGCCCCUUGGUAUCCCGAGGGGCAUGCCUGUUCGAGCGUCAUUUCACCACUCAAGCCUGGCUUGGUGUUGGGCGACGUCCCCUUUAGGGACGCGCCUCGAAACGCUCGGCGGCGUGGCACCGGCUUUAAGCGUAGCAGAAUCUUUCGCUUUGGAAGUCGGGGCCCCGCCUGCCGGAAUACCUACUCGUAAGGUUGACCUCGGAUCAGGCAGGGAUACCCGCUGAACUUAAGCAUAUCAAUAAGCGGAGGA